GAUGAACGCUGACAGCAUGCUUAACACAUGCAAGUCAACUGUGGCGGACGGGUGAGUAACGCGUCAAGAACUUGCCUCACGGAUAGGGACAACAUUUGGAAACGAAUGCUAAUACCUGAUACUGUGAGAGAGCUUUGCGUCCCAUUAGCUAGUUGGAGAGGUAACGGCUCACCAAUGCGAGGCUGGGUAGCCGGCCUGAGAGGGUGAUCGGCCACCAGGGGACUGGGACACGGCCCUUACUCCUACGGGGGGCAGCAGUGGGGAAUAUUGGACAAUGGACCAAAGUCUGAGCCAGCAAUUCUGUGUGCACGAUGAAGUUUUCGGAAUGUAAAGUGCUUUCAGUUGGGAAGCGGUACCAACAGAAGAAGUGACGGCUAAAUACGUGCCAGCAGCCGCGGUAAUUC
rnacentral:rRNA from 1 species